rfam:Ovis aries breed Texel chromosome 12, whole genome shotgun sequence.
UCCCUGGUGGCUCAAAGGUAAAGCAUCUGCCUGCAAUGCGGGAGACCUGGGUUCGAUCCCUGGGUUGGGAA